UCGAAUGGGGAGAUUCAUCGUCAGCGAUUUUGGUACGUGUGCGGGCUCGCGAUGUCGGAGACUUCGGUCUCCAGGCACGCGUCGCAUGUUUUUUAUUGCCUCGAUCGUCGACGUGCACUUCUCCCCUAGUAGGACGUCGCGACCCGUUGGGUGUCGGUCUACGGCCCGGAUGGUAGCCUGUCUCGUGUGCGCUUCRCGGCGUUACGCGGUUCANACCCCCGGAUGCCCGACCGGCUGCCCGGCGGUACUCGCACGGUAUCUGGCCGCAAAUAUUCGAACUGCGUCCGGCCCGUCGCAAGCGAGACAAGUGUUUCCCGGUUGUACGGAUCCAAUGCCGUCACCGGGCCUUGUCAGCUGUUGGUUGACGGUGUCCUAGGACUGGCUAAUACAAUUAUGAUACCGGUCGGCGACGCUACUGCUUUGGGUACUUUCAGGACCCGUCUUGAAACACGGACCAAGGAGUCUAACAUGUGCGCGAGUCAUUGGGAACUAUUAAGCCUAAAGGCGCAAUGAAAGUGAAGGUCGGCCUCG
rnacentral:rRNA from 1 species